rnacentral:rRNA from 1 species
GAUCCUGGCUCAGAUUGAACGCUGGCGGCAUGCCUUACACAUGCAAGUCGAACGGUAACAGGUCUUCGGACGCUGACGAGUGGCGAACGGGUGAGUAAUACAUCGGAACGUGCCCCAGUCGUGGGGGGAUAACUACUCGAAAGAGUAGCUAAUACCGCAUACGAUCUGAGGAUGAAAGCGGGGGACCUUCGGGCCUCGCGCGAAUUGGAGCGGCCGAUGGCCAGAUUAGGUAGUUGGUGGGAUUAAAAG